AGAGAGUGAGCGAGCGAGAAAGAGAGAGAGAAAGGGAGAUAGAGAACACUGGUGUAUAGAGAGCAGGAACUGGGAGUAAGAGUAGGGUGGAAUUCACACGGAAUAUUCAGCUGUACAUUUCGUUGGAUAUAUAUGUUUUCAUAAUUAUUGCGACGUGGACACUGUUUCUCUUGUCUCAGAUGUGAUCGUGUUUCCAUCACAUCACUGCCCCCGGUGUCCAGUGAGUGACAACUACAGUGGAUAUUAUUUAACUCCGCCAGAACAGCCGUCAGUAAGCCUUCACUUUCGAGGUUUUGGAGUCGAUCAAUUAAUUUAAUUGGAAAAUACAUUCCCAACAUGGCUACGGAUCAAGAAAAUAAUAAACAGCGUAUGAUAAAGCUGUUGGAGAGACCGGGGAACGGGAGCUGUGUGGAUUGCGGAGCUGCAGACCCGGAGUGGGCGUCCUACACCCUGGGUGUGUUUGUGUGUCAGAGCUGCUCGGGUCUCCAUAGAAACAUCUCCCAGAUCAGCAAAGUCAAGUCUGUCCUGCUGGACCCAUGGAGUGAUGCAGAGGUAGAGUUCAUGGCGUCCAACGGAAACAAUGCUGCUAAAGCCAAAUAUGAACAGAAGGUGCCUGUUUUCUACUACCGUCCAACACACACAGACUGCCAGCUCCUUCGGGAACAGUGGAUAAGAGCCAGAUACGAGAGGAAGGAGUUUGUGUGUGUGGAGAGACAGGAGCCUUACUCUGCAGGUAAGACUGAGUACACACACACAAACACAUGCACAUAUGCAUUCAAACAAGCACGUUUGCAUGCAUACAAACAAGCACGCUCGCAUGCACACACACACACACACACACACACACACACACACACA